GGCUCAGGAUGAACGCUAGCGGCAGGCUUUAAUACAUGCAAGUCGUUGGGGCAGCAUGAGUAGCAAUACUUGAUGGCGACCGGCAAACGGGUGAGGAACACGUACACAACCUUCCUUCAAGCGGGGAAUAGCCCAGAGAAAUUUGGAUUAAUACCCCAUAAUAUAUUUGAUAAGGCAUCUUAUUAAUAUUAAAGCUUCGGCACUUGAUGAUGGGUGUGCGGCUGAUUAGAUAGUUGGCGGGGUAACGGCCCACCAAGUCUACGAUCAGUAGCUGAUGUGAGAGCAUGAUCAGCCACACGGGCACUGAGACACGGGCCCGACUCCUACGGGAGGCAGCAGUAAGGAAUAUUGGACAAUGGACGAAAGUCUGAUCCAGCCAUGCCGCGUGAAGGAUUAAGGUCCUCUGGAUUGUAAACUUCUUUUAUAUGGGACGAAAAAGGGCAUUCUUGUUCACUUGACGGUACCAUAUGAAUAAGCACCGGCUAACUCCGUG
rnacentral:rRNA from 1 species